ensembl:lncRNA
UUGACGACUAACUACAAAGGAGCACCAAGACUGCACCGAGCCAGUCAGUGUAGAGACCUUCCCUUUGAACAUCCCUUGACGAUGGGAACGAUGACUACUCUCCUCCUACUGGCCUGCCUGUCAAUGGCCUUACCAUACACCGUCUGUGGUGAGCUGGUAAAUCCAUUUAAUCUCCUGAAAGAUCGAGUGGACUGUAUGGAAAAGCAGCUGGGCAAGAUUGUAACCCCGGAGGAGGACCUCAGUGCAACAAACGCAAAACUGAAGUUGCAGGUAGCAAGAGUAGACACACUGAGGCAAGAGAAUGAAGGUACAUCUAAUAAGGUAGCAGCUCUGGAGGCCAAGCUCAAUGCUACAGAGGAAGACUUGGAGGCCCAGAAAGUUGAAGUGGGUAGACUGAGAGGCUUGGAGGAAAACCUGAACUCUAGAGCAGCAGCAGCUGGAUGGACAAAGAGUGUUGGUGGCCAGGCUCAAUGCCAUGAAGACAGAGCUGGAAGCUGAAGUACAGGAGCUGAAGAGAGACAACAGAGUAAAUGUGGCGUUGAAAGGAGUGGCCGCUCAGUCAUCUCUAUAUGGAAUCGGUGUAGCUUCAAAUGCCAUUGAUGGGACCAGAGAACAUGAAUAUAACAAACAAUCCUGCAGCCACACUCAGGAUGACACCAACCCCUGGUGGAGAGUGGACCUUCUGGGAAACGUGGUGUUGAAAGGAGUGGCCACCCAGUCAUCACUGUAUGGGGAUGGCCAGGCUAACAAUGUCAUUGAUGGCAACAGAGAAUCAGACUAUCACAAAGGCUCCUGCAGCUGCACUUCGUUUAACACCAACCCCUGGUGGAGAGUGGACCUGCUGGAUCUGUUCAGAGUGACAGCUGUCACCAUCAACAACCCCUGGUGGAGAGUGGACCUGCUGGAUCUGUUCAGAGUGACAGCUGUCACCAUCAACAACCCCUGGUGG